rnacentral:rRNA from 1 species
UGGGGAAUUUUGGACAAUGGGCGAAAGCCUGAUCCAGCAAUGCCGCGUGUGUGAAGAAGGCCUUCGGGUUGUAAAGCACUUUUGUCCGGAAAGAAAUCCUUGGCUCUAAUACAGUCGGGGGAUGACGGUACCGGAAGAAUAAGCACCGGCUAACUACGUGCCAGCAGCCGCGGUAAUACGUAGGGUGCAAGCGUUAAUCGGAAUUACUGGGCGUAAAGCGUGCGCAGGCGGUUUGCUAAGACCGAUGUGAAAUCCCCGGGCUCAACCUGGGAACUGCAUUGGUGACUGGCAGGCUAGAGUAUGGCAGAGGGGGGUAGAAUUCCACGUGUAGCAGUGAAAUGCGUAGAGAUGUGGAGGAAUACCGAUGGCGAAGGCAGCCCCCUGGGCCAAUACUGACGCUCAUGCACGAAAGCGUGGGGAGCAAAACAGGAUUAGAUACCCUGGUAGUCCACGCCCUAAAACGAUGUCAACUAGUUGUUGGGGAUUCAUUUCCUUAGUAACGUAGCUAACGCGUGAAGUUGACCNCCUGGGGAGUACGGUCGCAAGAUUAAAACUCAAAUGAAUUGACGGGGUCAUAGCUGUUUCCU